UAGGGAAUUUUUCACAAUGAGCGAAAGCUUGAUGGAGCAAUGCCGCGUGAACGAUGAAGGUCUUUAAGAUUGUAAAGUUCUUUUAUUUGGGAAGAAUGACUUUAGCAGGUAAUGGCUAGAGUUUGACUGUACCAUUUUGAAUAAGUGACGACUAACUAUGUGCCAGCAGUCGCGGUAAUACAUAGGUCGCAAGCGUUAUCCGGAUUUAUUGGGCGUAAAGCAAGCGCAGGCGGAUUGAAAAGUCUGGUGUUAAAGGCAGCUGCUUAACAGUUGUAUGCAUUGGAAACUAUUAAUCUAGAGUGUGGUAGGGAGUUUUGGAAUUUCAUGUGGAGCGGUGAAAUGCGUAGAUAUAUGAAGGAACACCAGUGGCGAAGGCGAAAACUUAGGCCAUUACUGGCGCUUAGGCUUGAAAGUGUGGGGAGCAAAUAGGAUUAGAUACCCUAGUAGUCCACACCGUAAACGAUAGAUACUAGCUGUCGGGGCGAUCCCCUCGGUAGUGAAGUUAACACAUUAAGUAUCUCGCCUGGGUAGUACAUUCGCAAGAAUG
rnacentral:rRNA from 1 species